CUGGCGUAAUAGUUUCCCUCCCGAGCAGUGGUAGUGGAGAGACCAAAAAGCACGGAGGAAAGGACGCAAGCCGCGUGUUUGAGAAAGGACAGAGAUGAGUGAACGCUGCGAACAAGAAGAACGAAAAAAAAACUCGUCAGCGGUAUAAACAAUAUCAUAAAUAUUGUUUUUGUAGCAACCAACAAACGGAGUGCGUCGAGGACUUUGCGUCUCCGUCGUCAUCGUGUUGCGGUUUCCCUUCGUGUUCAGGAGGGUGUGGAGUGUUCGGGCGCGUAGGGUAGUGGCAGAGGUGUGACUCCUGCAAGACGAUACAGUGUGCGCGGUCCUCCGUACCAGAUCGUGCUGCCAGAUGUGCUGCUAACAAAGCAAAGCGGAUUUGGGACUCAUCCACCAGGAGUGGCGGUGGCGAAGAGCGGCGACGACCCGGCGAGAUGCUGGGAUCGUGUCACAGUUGCACUUGCUGCAGCAUAGAGCAUAACGCCCAGAAGCCAUCGCCAACACAUCGGCAGCGGACUAGGAGAGGUCGGGUGUGGUGCAAAAGGUCAUCAACAUAAUGAACCGUUUUCCCUCCGAUAGCGGGUGAAUAUCGUUGCUCCGGUUGUGCAUUUAGUUGAUGGCUCUAUCACCGGAAAAGCGUUACAAACAUUUCUGAUCAAAAAUACUGAACCUGUCUCUUUCCACUUGAAAGCAGGAUGUUGGACAGUGAUCAGCUUACCUAGCUGAAUGAAAAGAAACCCGAAAGCGGUUAAUCUACUACGGGGACCUUGCAAUCCUAUUCAUAAAAUUUCAUGACAAAUGAACUUUUAAUCAAAUUUAUUAAUCCUUCGUUCAUCAAGAUAACGAAAUUGAUCAUUGUGAAUCAGUAAAUAUGGGAAUGAAAUAAUUAAUAUGCUCUGUAAAAUUGUGUCAAU